rnacentral:rRNA from 1 species
AGUGAACGCUGGCGGUAGGCCUAACACAUGCAAGUCGAACGGCAGCACAGUAAGAGCUUGCUCUUACGGGUGGCGAGUGGCGGACGGGUGAGGAAUACAUCGGAAUCUACUUUUUCGUGGGGGAUAACGUAGGGAAACUUACGCUAAUACCGCAUACGACCUACGGGUGAAAGCAGGGGAUCUUCGGACCUUGCGCGAUCGAAUGAGCCGAUGUCGGAUUAGCUAGUUGGCGGGGUGAAGGCCCACCAAGGCGACGAUCCGUAGCUGGUCUGAGAGGAUGAUCAGCCACACUGGAACUGAGACACGGUCCAGACUCCUACGGGAGGCAGCAGUGGGGAAUAUUGGACAAUGGGCGCAAGCCUGAUCCAGCCAUACCGCGUGGGUGAAGAAGGCCUUCGGGUUGUAAAGCCCUUUUGUUGGGAAAGAAAAGCAGCAGGUUAAUACCCCGCUGUUCUGACGGUACCCAAAGAAUAAGCACCGGCUAACUUCGUG